rnacentral:rRNA from 1 species
UACGGGGGGGGCAAGCGUUGUUCGGAAUUACUGGGCGUAAAGGGCUCGUAGGCGGCCAACUAAGUCAGACGUGAAAUCCCCAGGCUCAACCUGGGAACUGCGUCCGAUACUGGCAGGCUUGAAUCCGGGAGAGGGAUGCGGAAUUCCAGGUGUAGCGGUGAAAUGCGUAGAUAUCUGGAGGAACACCGGUGGCGAAGGCGGCAUCCUGGACCGGCAUUGACGCUGAGGCGCGAAAGCCAGGGGAGCAAACGGG